rnacentral:misc_RNA from 1 species
AAAAUUUUCCAUUUUGAUACUAUUAAAAAUAAUAUGGUUUCAACAUUAGGAUUUAUCUCUGGUUUCAGUGGAAAUUGACCUUUGCUCUUUUUUAGUUAGUAACAUAAUGUAUUAUAAUGAUAAGUUCAUCAUGUGAAUAUAGUUUCAAUUUUGAUAGUCUUCCAAGUGAAUUUGUUCAUUAGUUUUGUUCAUUGAGUGUAGAAAGAGUUU